AACCAAAAAAAGAAGAAAAAAAAAGAGAAAAACGAAGCAAGAAAAAGUGGCCCUCACACCACGUGUGUGUU
rnacentral:ribozyme from 1 species